rnacentral:rRNA from 1 species
UACGUAGGGUGCAAGCGUUGUCCGGAAUCAUUGGGCGUAAAGCGCGCGUAGGUGGUCAUGUAAGUCCGCUGUGAAAGUCAAAGGCUCAACCUUUGAAAGCCGGUGGAUACUGCAUGACUAGAGUACGGAAGAGGCGAGUGGAAUUCCUGGUGUAGCGGUGGAAUGCGCAGAUAUCAGGAGGAACACCUGUGGUGUAGACAGCUUACUGGACGGUGACUGACGCUGAGGCACGAAAGCGUGGGUAGCAAACAGG